UACGGAGGAUGCAAGCGUUAUCCGGAAUGAUUGGGCGUAAAGCGUCCGCAGGUGGCUGUGUAAGUCUGCUGUCAAAGAGCGAAGCUCAACUUCGUAAAGGCAGUGGAAACUACACGGCUAGAGUGCGUUCGGGGCAGAGGGAAUUCCUGGUGUAGCGGUGAAAUGCGUAGAUAUCUGGAGGAACACCGGUGGCGAAGGCGGCGUUCUGGACUGUUUCUGACACUGAAUAACGAAAGCCAGGGGAGCAAACGGG
rnacentral:rRNA from 1 species